rnacentral:rRNA from 1 species
UACGUAGGGGGCUAGCGUUGUCCGGAAUCAUUGGGCGUAAAGCGCGUGUAGGCGGCCCGGUAAGUCCGCUGUGAAAGUCGGGGGCUCAACCCUCGGAUGCCGGUGGAUACUGUCGGGCUAGAGUGCGGAAGAGGCGAGUGGAAUUCCUGGUGUAGCAGUGAAAUGCGUAGAGAUCAUGAGGAAGACCAGUGGCGAAGGCGGGUCUCUGGACAGUUCCUGACACUGAGGCACGAAGGCCAGGGGAGCAAACGGG